rnacentral:tRNA from 1 species
GUUGCCGUGGGAGAGCCUGCGCCGCAGCGCCUCCGGGGUGAUGUCCACCAGUUCGAUCUGAUCGGCGGCGC